rnacentral:rRNA from 1 species
GAUGAACGCUGGCGGCGUGCCUAAUACAUGCAAGUCGAGCGAACAGACGAGGAGCUUGCUCCUCUGACGUUAGCGGCGGACGGGUGAGUAACACGUGGAUAACCUACCUAUAAGACUGGGAUAACUUCGGGAAACCGGAGCUAAUACCGGAUAAUAUAUUGAACCGCAUGGUUCAAUAGUGAAAGACGGUUUUGCUGUCACUUAUAGAUGGAUCCGCGCCGCAUUAGCUAGUUGGUAAGGUAACGGCUUACCAAGGCAACGAUGCGUAGCCGACCUGAGCGGGUGAUCGGCCACACUGGAACUGAGACACGGUCCAGACUCCUACGGGAGGCAGCAGUAGGGAAUCUUCCGCAAUGGGCGAAAGCCUGACGGAGCAACGCCGCGUGAGUGAUGAAGGUCUUCGGAUCGUAAAACUCUGUUAUUAGGGAAGAACAAAUGUGUAAGUAACUAUGCACGUCUUGACGGUACCGAAUCAGAAAGCCACGGCUAACUACGUG